CACAGCCUAAUCUACUCCGCUUGAAUGUCUGGCUUCAUCAUGUGAAGAUCUCUCCCUGCGAAUACAGUUUGGUCGGCAGUCAUCGUCAUGCUUCCAUGUUAAUUGAUGUUAUGAUCCUCCUCUUGGGUUGAAGUUUUUACGUUUUUGUUUAUCUCUGGGCUAUAUUGCUGUUCCUGUUUUGGACUCUGUGUAUAGUGUUGCAUCUUCAGAAAGAGGGAAAUGGAAAGGAAGUGCUGCCUAUUAUACUGGGACAUGUGCAGGGAGGGGCCUAUGUCACUG